rnacentral:rRNA from 1 species
AGAGUUUGAUCAUGGCUCAGGACGAACGCUGGCGGCACGCUUAACACAUGCAAGUCGAACGUGAAGCUCCGAGCUUGCUCGGGGUGGAAAGUGGCGAACGGGUGAGUAACACGUGAGGAACCUGCCCCGAAGACCGGAAUAACACCGGGAAACCGGUGCUAAUACCGGAUGCCCUCACCGGACCGCAUGAUUCGGUGAGGAAAUGGAUUCCGCUUCGGGAUGGCCUCGCGGCCUAUCAGCUUGUUGGUGGGGUAAUGGCCCACCAAGGCAGCGACGGGUAGCUGGUCUGAGAGGAUGUCCAGCCACACUGGGACUGAGACACGGCCCAGACUCCUACGGGAGGCAGCAGUGGGGAAUCUUGCGCAAUGGGCGAAAGCCUGACGCAGCGAUGCCGCGUGCGGGAUGAAGGCCUUCGGGUUGUAAACCGCUUUCAGCAGGGACGAAAUUGACGGUACCUGCAGAAGAAGCCCCGGCCAACUACGUGCCAGCAGCCGCGGUAAUACGUAGGGGGCGAGCGUUGUCCGGAUUUAUUGGGCGUAAAGAGCUCGUAGGCGGUUCGAUAAGUCGGACGUGAAAUCUCCACGCUCAACGUGGAGGGGCCGUUCGAUACUGUCGUGACUCGAGUCCGGUAGGGGAGUGUGGAAUUCCCGGUGUAGCGGUGAAAUGCGCAGAGAUCGGGAGGAACACCCGUAGCGAAGGCGGCACUCUGGGCCGGUACUGACGCUGAGGAGCGAAAGCGUGGGGAGCAAACAGGAUUAGAUACCCUAGUAGUCC